UGGGGAAUAUUGGACAAUGGGCGAAAGCCUGAUCCAGCCAUGCCGCGUGUGUGAAGAAGGUCUUCGGAUUGUAAAGCACUUUAAGUUGGGAGGAAGGGCAGUAAGCGAAUACCUUGCUGUUUUGACGUUACCGACAGAAUAAGCACCGGCUAACUCUGUGCCAGCAGCCGCGGUAAUACAGAGGGUGCGAGCGUUAAUCGGAUUUACUGGGCGUAAAGCGUGCGUAGGCGGCUAAUUGAGUCGGAUGUGAAAUCCCCGAGCUUAACUUGGGAAUUGCAGUCGAUACUGGUUAGCUAGAGUGUGGGAGAAGAUGGUAGAAUUCCAGGUGUAGCAGUGGAAUGCGUAGAGAUCUGGAGGAAUACCGAUGGCGAAGGCAGCCAUCUGGCCUAACACUGACGCUGAGGUACGAAAGCAUGGGGAGCAAACAGG
rnacentral:rRNA from 1 species